rnacentral:rRNA from 1 species
GACGAACGCUGGCGGCGUGCUUAACACAUGCAAGUCGAACGAUGAAGCUGGAGCUUGCUCUAGCGGAUUAGUGGCGAACGGGUGAGUAACACGUGAGCAAUCUGCCCUUGACUCUGGGAUAACUGCGGGAAACUGUAGCUAAUACCGGAUACUUUCACCGGGGGGCAUCCUCUGGUGAUGAAAGAAUUUCGGUCAAGGAUGAGCUCGCGGCCUAUCAGCUUGUUGGUGAGGUAACGGCUCACCAAGGCGACGACGGGUAACCGGCCUGAGAGGGUGACCGGUCACACUGGGACUGAGACACGGCCCAGACUCCUACGGGAGGCAGCAGUGGGGAAUAUUGCACAAUGGGCGCAAGCCUGAUGCAGCAACGCCGCGUGAGGGAUGAAGGCCUUCGGGUUGUAAACCUCUUUUAGCAGGGAAGAAGCGAAAGUGACGGUACCUGCAGAAAAAGCACCGGCUAACUACGUGCCAGCAGCCGCCGUAA